AGAGCUGAAACAGUAAAGAGGAUCACACUUAAGCAUCUGAACAGUAAAGUUACCAGUGAUCUGAACUGUGUGGUACAUGCUGCUAGUCUAAUCUGCCCACCACAGUCAAGCCACAAGCCAUUACUAUUUGGCAAUGAGGAUGGGAUCUUCAUUUGUCUUGAUGCUUGGAGCCACAGCCUAAAUGAUCCAGAACACUUUUCAGUUGCAUCUUAGGAAUGUCGGACUGGAAGGGCCAUAAAGCCACUGCUUCUUUCCAAGUUAGCUCUUAUGCAUGGAAUCGCUGAGAGAGGCAGCUGGACAAGCAACCCUGUUUUCUGCUUUAAAGUUAUUUGAAAGACAAAUUUCUACUAAAAUGCCAAAGUGAAGCCAGCAACAACAACCCCUAUAACUAGAGUGACCAUACAUUCUAGAUUGGCUGGGACAGUCCUGGAUUUCAUAGGCUGUCUCAGAGUCCCAGCCACUGGAGAAAACUGGAGCAAAAAUCCCAGAUUGGCGUAAACCUGCGUGCACAUGUCCAGCUCCUGAUUGACUUUACUGGGCAAGUGACUCCCGGCUUACAGCCCAGCAGAGUUGGGACCAGGGAAGACCUACUACUGUCACCACUCAGAGCCCAGGUGAGGAUGGGGAUU